CCUCACCCUAUAACUGUACCUAUCACUGCUCUAUUACAGGACCCUCACCCUAUAACUGUACCUAUCACUGCUCUAUUACAGGACCCCUCACCCUAUAACUGUACCUAUUACUGCUCUAUUACAGGACCCCUCACCCUAUAACUGUACCUAUCACUGCUCUAUUACAGGACCCUCACCCUAUAACUGUACCUAUCACUGCUCUAUUACAGGACCCCUCACCCUAUAACUGUACCUAUCACUGCUCUAUUACAGGACCCCUCACCCUAUAACUGUACCUAUCACUGCUCUAUUACAGGACCCCUCACCCUAUAACUGUACCUAUCACUACUCUAUUACAGGUCUCCUCACCCUAUAACUGUACCUAUCACUUCUCUAUUACAGGACCCCUCACCCUAUAACUGUACCUAUCACUGCUCUAUUACAGGACCCCUCACCCUAUAACUGUACCUAUCUCUGCUCUAUUACAGGACCCCUCA